UGGAGCUCGGCAGGAGGACCGGGACAAGGAUCGGGGCCAGGACCGGGACCGCGACCGGAGGAGCGAGGCGGCCCCAGGAGCUGGCACUGACCGUGCCGCGGCUCGGGCACAGGCUGCUCCCAGCUCUGCCUGCGGAACUUCGGCAAUUACCGACAGCAGUUCUUUGCCCUGCCAUCCAGAAGGUGCGGCUCAUCUGACACCAGCCAGACGGGGAAGGCCCUGCCUGGGAGGGAAACGGCUACAGGGGAGGAAACCAAGAAAUGCUCCAACCGGAUGGUGCUGCGCGAGUCAAAAGA